GGCAAGAUGGCCGAGCGGUCUGAGGCGCCACGUUAGGGAGAUUAAACCCUUAAUUCAAUCAGUUGAUUCCGUGGCCCGAAAGGGUGUGGGUCCGAAUCCCACUCUUGUCA
rnacentral:tRNA from 1 species